UGGAUAUCAGAGUAUCCAGUAAGGUUCUAACAGCACAGGCAUUACAGCUGAAAACUAUCUCCUAAUCAGUAUUGGUAGCAAGAGUAUUUGGAGUUUCUUGGCUCUGGGAAGUUAUUUAUAAACAAAUGUUAGGGGCUUUGUUAUGCAGAGAGCUGUCCUGACUUUCGAUUGUGCUGCUGAGACUGUUCUUUCAGUAGGUGAAACACAUUCAUGCCAGGAGAGGUCAAACUACUAUUAUUACUGCUCAUCGGCUUUCUCCCACUCAGAUUGCAGCGUAAUCGUGGGCAUUGUGGAUGGCACAGUGGUGGAAAUGGGAACACACACAGAGCUGAUGGGGAAAAAGGAGCCAGAUUACUCACUUCCAACCUCACAGGAUCUUCAAAUAUGUGUAGAACAGCAUUUAUGCAAUAAGAAAGACUGAUGAGCCAACAGCCAGAAGUCAAAAACCGGCAGCAAGACUGUCCUGCAUUGGAUGGUCAACACCGUGGUCGAGAAACCAUACAAGCAUAUUCUAAAAACAUAUGUACAUGCACAGUUUUUCAGUGCGAAGCUGAAAUAUAUGUGUAUGUAUGUAUAUAUACAUAUCUAGAUGUGUAUUAAAUACAAGUACUUCAUGUAGACAAGCAUAGCUUAGACUUCAGUCUGUCAGAUCUAAGCAAAUUUAUAAUUGUGUCCUGUAAGCAAGGUUGUGUAAAAUUCAUUUUUUCUAUUAUUUUUUUCUAUGGAGGUAUUCUAUAUAAACAUAGUCUAUUUUCAAAAUCAUUCUUCUUACUUCACCAUAACAUUGUACUUUAAUAUUCC
rnacentral:lncRNA from 1 species